GGUUCUGUAGUGUAGUGGUUAGCACACGGGAUUUUGAUCUCUGCUCUUUCAGCAAAUUUCACAUUCCCGUAUCCUGGGUUCAAGCCCCAGCAGGACCU